GUGCUCCUUGGGCAGCACACACGCUGAAACUGGAAUGAUGCAAAGAAGACUCAUGUGGCCCCUGUGCAAGGAUGGCACACGAAUUUGUGAAAUGUUCCAGAUUUUU